rnacentral:rRNA from 1 species
CUCAGAACGAACGCUGGCGGCAUGCCUAACACAUGCAAGUCGAACGAGACCUUCGGGUCUAGUGGCGCACGGGUGCGUAACGCGUGGGAAUCUGCCCUUUGCUUCGGAAUAACUCAGGGAAACUUGUGCUAAUACCGGAUGAUGUCUUCGGACCAAAGAUUUAUCGGCAAAGGAUGAGCCCGCGUAGGAUUAGGUAGUUGGUGGGGUAAAGGCCUACCAAGCCGACGAUCCUUAGCUGGUCUGAGAGGAUGAUCAGCCACACUGGGACUGAGACACGGCCCAGACUCCUACGGGAGGCAGCAGUGGGGAAUAUUGGACAAUGGGCGAAAGCCUGAUCCAGCAAUGCCGCGUGAGUGAUGAAGGCCUUAGGGUCGUAAAGCUCUUUUACCAGGGAUGAUAAUGACAGUACCUGGAGAAUAAGCUCCGGCUAACUCCGUGCCAGCAGCCGCGGUAAUACGGAGGGAGCUAGCGUUGUUCGGAAUUACUGGGCGUAAAGCGUACGUAGGCGGUUAUUCAAGUCAGAGGUGAAAGCCCGGGGCUCAACCCCGGAACGGCCUUUGAAACUAGAUAGCUAGAGUCUUGGAGAGGUCAGUGGAAUUCCGAGUGUAGAGGUGAAAUUCGUAGAUAUUCGGAAGAACACCAGUGGCGAAGGCGACUGACUGGACAAGUACUGACGCUG